AAGUCUGACGGAGCAACGCCGCGUGAGUGAUGAAGGUUUUCGGAUCGUAAAGCUCUGUUGUUAGGGAAGAACAAGUGCGAGAGUAACUGCUCGCACCUUGACGGUACCUAACCAGAAAGCCACGGCUAACUACGUGCCAGCAGCCGCGGUAAUACGUAGGUGGCAAGCGUUGUCCGGAAUUAUUGGGCGUAAAGGGCUCGCAGGCGGUUUCUUAAGUCUGAUGUGAAAGCCCCCGGCUCAACCGGGGAGGGUCAUUGGAAACUGGGAAACUUGAGUGCAGAAGAGGAGAGUGGAAUUCCACGUGUAGCGGUGAAAUGCGUAGAGAUGUGGAGGAACACCAGUGGCGAAGGCGACUCUCUGGUCUGUAACUGACGCUGAGGAGCGAAAGCGUGGGGAGCGAACAGGAUUAGAUACCCUGGUAGUCCACGCCGUAAACGAUGAGUGCUAAGUGUUAGGGGGUUUCCGCCCCUUAGUGCUGCAGCUAACGCAUUAAGCACUCCGCCUGGGGAGUACGGUCGCAAGACUGAAACUCAAAGGAAUUGACGGGGGCCCGCACAAGCGGUGGAGCAUGUGGUUUAAUUCGAAGCAACGCGAAGAACCUUACCAGGUCUUGACAUCCUCUGACAACCCUAGAGAUAGGGCUUUCCCUUCGGGGACAGAGUGACAGGUGGUGCAUGGUUGUCGUCAGCUCGUGUCGUGAGAUGUUGGGUUAAGUCCCGCAACGAGCGCAACCCUUGAUCUUAGUUGCCAGCAUUCAGUUGGGCACUCUAAAGGUGACUGCCGGUGACAAACCGGAGGAAGGUGGGGAUGACGUCAAAUCAUCAUGCCCCUUAUG
rnacentral:rRNA from 1 species